AGUCGAGCGGGCACCUUCGGGUGUCAGCGGCGGACGGGUGAGUAACGCGUGGGAACGUGCCCUCUGGUUCGGAAUAACUCAGGGAAACUUGAGCUAAUACCGGAUACGCCCUUUUGGGGAAAGGCUUGCUGCCGGAGGAUCGGCCCGCGUCUGAUUAGCUAGUUGGUGAGGUAACGGCUCACCAAGGCGACGAUCAGUAGCUGGUCUGAGAGGAUGAUCAGCCACACUGGGACUGAGACACGGCCCAGACUCCUACGGGAGGCAGCAGUGGGGAAUAUUGGACAAUGGGCGCAAGCCUGAUCCAGCCAUGCCGCGUGAGUGAUGAAGGCCUUAGGGUUGUAAAGCUCUUUUAUCCGGGACGAUAAUGACGGUACCGGAGGAAUAAGCCCCGGCUAACUUCGUGCCAGCAGCCGCGGUAAUACGAAGGGGGCUAGCGUUGCUCGGAAUCACUGGGCGUAAAGGGCGCGUAGGCGGCGUUUUAAGUCGGGGGUGAAAGCCUGUGGCUCAACCACAGAAUGGCCUUCGAUACUGGGACGCUUGAGUAUGGUAGAGGUUGGUGGAACUGCGAGUGUAGAGGUGAAAUUCGUAGAUAUUCGCAAGAACACCGGUGGCGAAGGCGGCCAACUGGACCAUUACUGACGCUGAGGCGCGAAAGCGUGGGGAGCAAACAGGAUUAGAUACCCUGAUAGUCCACGCCGUAAACGAUGAAUGCCAGCUGUUGGGGUGCUUGCACCUCAGUAGCGCAGCUAACGCUUUGAGCAUUCCGCCUGGGGAGUACGGUCGCAAGAUUAAAACUCAAAGGAAUUGAC
rnacentral:rRNA from 1 species